rnacentral:rRNA from 1 species
CCCGCCCNGGAUUCGGCGAGAAGUCCAUUGAACCUUAUCAUUUAGAGGAAGGAGAAGUCGUAACAAGGUUUCCGUAGGUGAACCUGCGGAAGGAUCAUUG